AGAAAGAGAGAGAAAGUGUGGAAGAAGCGUCGGUCGCCACUUGCUAUUUGUACCCGCAUUUUCCCCACCGCCACGCCCUCUCGCUGGUCUCUCUCGUCUCCUCGGUCCCCGAAAGUGUCGUGGGAGAGAGAAACCCCCGAGAUCGGCGAUGGUGGAGGGAGAGAGAGCCCUUCUCAACGAGACGAUGUAUCCGAUCCUCGGUAACCCUAGCGUCUCCCUGUCACUCGUCUUUUGUAACUUGAGUCUUUUGCUGACACGACAUGUUUUGGGAUACCCUAAGUUACUAUAAGCUGCAAACUUCGCAGAGACAAGUUUGAUAAGCAGAAUUAAUCAGUCGUUACUGUUGACUUUCGUUAAUAAAUAUGGAAGUGACGAACGAAAAGGCAUUGGAUAAAUGUGGGAGAAACACAGGAUAUCUUAAGAGGAAGCGCGACUUGGCCGAAAAUUUUACUGAGGCUAGCGUUGCUCGUAGAUCACGUCGACCUGUUGCAGAUCAAAUCACUAUCAGGUCUGGCAGCGAGAUAGAAUGUAACACCAAUUCCAGCCCUUGUUUUGAUAGGCAUAUUAUCCAAAGCUACCGUAAUUUUUUGUCAAGUGGGUUGCCACAGCGUGUGCUGUCUAAUGAGAAUGGUGAAUGGAAAGAUUUUCCAGAGAAUAUUAUCGAUUUGAUUCGGAGAGAUUUCCAAUCAAAGAAGGCAAUCACCGAAGCCGCAUAUCAGGACCAGCAAUUGUUGCUAGACUUUGUGCACAUGAUAUGCAUAGAUCUCGAGACGGGUCUCAAGAAGCCAAUCGCAUGGAUUGACGAAAAUGGAAAAUGUUUCUUUCCUGAAUUAUAUCCUGAGGUUUAUGCAUCAGAUGUACAUCAACAUUUCAAAAAAGGAAGUCAUGCUAAUAUUAUAUAUUCUGAGCCAAAUGAGAUAUCCAUCACUGCAACUCGAAUCUCAAAUUCGGAAUCUCAUGAUGAAGUCAUCUCUAAUAUCAACAAGGUCAAGCGUGAAGACAACUUCGAAAGAAACCAGAAGGUAUAUAAUGAAGCCGUUGAAGUGGUUGGAGAAAAUGAGCCAUGCUCUUUCUUCCCUUCUAGGGUUGGUAUCGUCGGAUCUGGUCACGAGAAGGUGUCUGGCCAGUUUGGUGGUCGUAGUGUCAGCUGUGCAGUGCAAGAUAUGCUACUCAAGGGACUGGGCCUAUUUGCUGAUGCAAAGGAUAUUGUUGGUAUCUAUCGAACCCCGUUGAUAGAUAACUUGGGACAAUUGCGUUUUAGUAUUUUCCAGGAGCAGAUAGAGCAUACUAAGAACCGACGCGGGAAUGCAAAUGUCCGUUAUGCUUGGCUUGCUUCUUAUAAGGAUGCUGUGGAGGAGAUGAUGUCGCGAGGUGUCUUGCAAAUUAAGAAGCCUACAAAGGGUCCUUUGUUUGGUAUUGGCAAUCAUCUUGCACCAGCAAAUCGAUCUGACAUAUGUGCUAGUUAUUCUGAUGUCGACGAAAAUGGCGUUAUCCAUAUGAUGUUAUGUCGAGUUAUAAUGGGGAAUGUGGAACUCAUCCAUCCUGGAUCUCAACAGUUUGAGCCUAGUGGAGAAAAUUUUGAUAGUGGUGUAGAUAAUCUUCAAAAACCAAAGCAUUAUAUUAUAUGGGAUAUGAAUAGGAACACUCACAUCUAUCCGGAGUAUGUUGUGACCAUCAAAGUGCCUUCCAGACCCAAAGAAUGUUUGGUUGUUAAAGAAAGCUCUUCUGAUGUGCCUUCAAUCACAAAUUCGAGUUCACCUGAUAGUCUUUUCCAGGAUAGGAAUUUUCAGCUUUCACCGGUGUCGGCAAAUCAAUCUCAAGCUCCCAUGUUUGGUAGAGCUCCUACCUCUCCUUGGAUGCCUUUCUCAAUGUUGUUUGCUGCAAUUUCGACGAAAGUGUCUCCUCAAGACAUGGACUUGGUUAAUACUUGUUAUGAAGAAUUCAAGCAAAAAAAGGUAAGCAGAAUUGACUUAGUUAAAAAGUUGAGGCAGAUUGUUGGGGACAAACUGUUGAUUUCUACAAUAAUGAGGCUCCAACGCAAGGUAUGUCAUUCUCGUAAACAAUGAUUCAUUGUUACUAAACGAACGCUAGGAAUUGGCAUUGACAUAUUCCACACCGGUCUCUUUAGAAGCAGAAAUUUGAUAUAUUUUUUUAAAUAAUGUAACAUGGUUAAACUCUGCUAAACCAAGUUGAUGCCAAAGUUUGUCCAUUUUAACUAAUUCAGUUGGUGUUGGUGCAAUAAUCCCAUUUAACAUUCUUCACUUUCCAAGAUAGUUAUGAGAAGUUUGUGUUUCACCAUAACCAAUACUUUUAAGAACAAAAAGUUUUGUUUUUGGAAAGCUCAAGCUGUUGGAAAAGCAGAUCCGUUGUGCUUUAUACUUAAAAGAGUCGUCCUGGUUGCUCUUUGUCUAAUGUAACCGACUUCUCUUUUCCCUUUGGUAGACUCAAUAUGUUAUGUCUGUACAUUUUGUAUGUGGAUUCUAGUAUUACCUGUCAUUAUUUGUCUGGUUACAAACUUUUGCAAGACCAGCAGUGUGUAGUUUCUCCCUCUUUGCUCCAUUUUUCAUAUUUGUGUUGAUCCUCAUUUCGGCGUGCAUCACUCUUGCUCAGUAUCAGUUCAACAUGGUUUUAUAGGAGCUAUUUCUUGUGUGAUGUGGCACGUGGUUAGAAAGUAGCUUGUUAAUUACAUGUCCACAUGAAAUUUGCCAGAAUAAAAGAAUGUCAUGACGGUAGCAUAUUCUGUGAGUCUGUGACCAAACUAUGCUUCUUUCUAAUGCAUCUUUGCAUGAAUUUGGGGACGAGUGCUUCUACAAGUACCCUCGGAGGUCCCUCUGAAAGGCUGCAAAUUCUAGCAUUCGCAUGUGGUGCACGCUGGUUGGGUUGCACGCGCACCUUUUGAAGCACCGCCAGCACAGCCGUGACACUUUGGGGGCCUGCACAAGGGGUACCCGAAGCAUCACUCUUUGGGAAAGCCCAAUAAGUAUCCAGUUGACUCAUCAGAGCCACCCUUCUGAUAUUGUCUUGAUUUACCACAAGUGGCUAGAUAUGAACAGCCAAAGACUGGGAUGCAAUCCAAGCCUUAAUCUCUCUCUCUCUCUCUCUCUCUCUCUCUCUCUCUCUCUCUAGCGCAAUGAAGUGUUUAGUCGACUCAAUGAUGUCCAAAGUAGACUGAGAUCUAGCUUGUCGUGGGCUUGCUUUUAUCCUGUGCUUUUCUCCUAUACACUUAGUUAUCACAGAACUGGAGUAUAUGUAGUAAAGAGCCGGCUACUGUUGAUUUCUGGGUGAUGCGUUGAUGGUUCUGCUGCUUUGCUAACGGUCCAGUUUGUUCAGUAAAACUGUAGUGAUAAUUGUUUUAAAUUUAAAACAAGUAUUGAGUGUUCUUCUCA